GACAGAGGGUGCAAACGUUGUUCGGAAUUACUGGGCGUAAAGCGAGUGUAGGCGGUUUGGUAAGUCGGAUGUGAAAGCCCCGGGCUCAACCCGGGAAGUGCACUCGAUACUGCCAAGCUAGAGUAUCGGAGAGGUUGGUGGAAUUCUCGGUGUAGAGGUGAAAUUCGUAGAUAUCGAGAGGAACACCGGUGGCGAAGGCGGCCAACUGGACGAAUACUGACGCUGAGACGCGAAAGCGUGGGGAGCAAACAGG
rnacentral:rRNA from 1 species